UACAUAUAGUUUUAUAAUUAGUAUAUUUACAUUAAAUUUUCAUAAAUACUGAAAAUAGUUACAUUGUCUACAACUAGAGAUCACACUACACAAAGGAUGGGUAGGUGAUCAAUGUAUGCUACUAACUAAAUGUACAUCUUGAAGUUGCACCUUCUGUUAGAAGCAUGCAAUCCUUGUGUUUAUAAUUUGUAGUUGUUACCAUUGAAGGAAAAAAGAAUAUCCAAGGAAAAGAAUACAAGAAAUAUGCAAAUAAUAUGUUAAUUUAUAAAUUUACUUAUCUGUGUAAUGUUUCUAUUGUGAUGAACAGAUGAGGAUUGUACAGAGGUAAGACAAACUUGCCCUGAACCAGUCUUAGCUCAGCAAAUACAGAGUCAGGCAGUUUUCUACUACAGGAAGACCUAGAAAAAUUAGGAAAUAUGAAACAAACAAAAUAAAAAACAAAGAUGAAACAUUCUUGGCCUAGCUGCCUUUGCAAACCUGGGUAAGGUUUUUAAGCUUGCUGAAUCAUUAGGUUCAUCCACUGUAGCAAGAGGAGUGAGUUUUUCUGCGACCAUUUUUCAUACCAGGACUUUUAUGAGUUGGCCAUUCUUUGGGUUCUUGCACAUUGUUAUAGAGUCAUGGGUUUUCUUUGUCAAGUUCUCUUUCUUUUGAUAACUCAUCUCUUUCUUUCAGAGAGUCAUACAUUUCUUGUUGUUCACCAGACAUCUUAACUGAGACAGACUCCCACACUGGGACCCAGAGCUGGGAACGUCUACCAAGCUUGGCCAACCGGCAUACCAAUGGUUUUGAGUGCAGUGAUUCACUCAUGGAAUGAUAUCUGACCCAGUUUUCCACUGAGAGCCCUAUUUUCUUGGUAGAACUUUUCUCUCCAUUCAGGUUACACAUCUGGAAGAAGAUGAGUCUGAAACUGCGCGUAUCUGUAUUUGCCAUGCUUGGGACAAUCUGUAGAAAGUAAAGUAAGCACUAAGAUACACACACAGGAAAGUAGAGUGUAGAUUACAGCUUCUAAGUCUUCACUUCAAAAAAUGGUUUAAGGACUUCAAGAGUAACACUUUAUUGAGAGGGUCAUUUAAAGAGAGGUAGCCUCUCUUUAAAGGACCCUGGCUAUAAAGCAGAAACUGAAAUUCCUAAAUUUCAAACCUAUUGUGAAAGCAGGAAUUCAUCACUAUAGUGUUUGAUAAUUAGGAUGUUACUCCCAUGAAAAAUGGAUUAUUAGAAUUCCUUCUAUUCUCUAGGCAUCUCGUGCCUUUCUGGAUUGUUGAUAGCAUGCAUUCUGGAUUGUCCUUCAAAAAAAGCAAAGUCACUGAAGAUUGUAAUUUUUAAAGCAAAUAAGAGCUCUACUACAUCAGGUUUCAUUUUUUGGUAGAUAAAGAUAUUGUUUCUUUUUGUUGUCAUUGUUUUAUUUCUUAGCGCAUCAGUAGGACUCUGCUCAAGCAAGGAAGUUAAAAGAUACAGUGUGAAGAAUUGUAGUACUGAGUCUUAUAGCAUCCCAUAGGAUAGAAAAUGUCCCAGACAGAGCUUAGGAAAGAGCCACGGGGCCUCCAUGGAGCCUUAGGAAUAGGUCAGAUGUUAAAGAUCUUGAAAAUUGGGCUAAGACUCUGAAGUUUAUCCAUUAGGUAACUGGAGUCUAUGGAAAUUUCCUAAGGAUAAAAUCACAUGAAAAAUCCUUGUUUUCAAAAAGAGUCUGAUGAUACUGUUUAGGGAAGUGGUUCCCUAAAAUGUAACUCGAAUUAGCUGGAUCAGUACAUACAGGAAUUCCUAAACCACAGCUGGACCUACUAAAUAAAAGGUCCUUUAAUAUGCCUCCAGGUAACUGUUAGGGUCACUCCAGAGCCCAUAGAUGUGACAGCCAGGAAUACAGCUCAGUGGCACAGCACCUGCCUGGCAGGUGGAAGAUCAUCAUUUCGAUUCCCAGGACCAACAAAACAGAACAAAACAAAAAAACCUGCCCCCCCCCCCAAAAAAAAAGAACUCAUGGAUGUGAGAAGGGGAAAGGAGGUGCUGAUGAGACUUCAGUAUUGCCUUCAGAUGUUUCAAGUCAAGGGCAAUUCAACCGGCAGCACGGAGGCAGGUUGCCCAUCCCUUAAACAGAGAAGGUGGAAUUUAUCCCUUCAUUGAAGGGAUGUGAUAGAGCGAUUUUUUCACCUUUGUCAAAUUCUAUGCAAUCUACAAAAUAUGCCCCAACCUCAAUGAUUUUCCAGAGAAACAGGGAGAAGAAACAGAAAGGUAAAAUGAAGCCACAGUCUUCUUCUAUCCCCUAAAUUGCUCCAAUUUCUGAUUGGCAAAAGGCUUUCAUCGUAUCGCUCUUGUUCUCGAGGCUCUGGAUGCCUUUGGAAUGGUAUUUCUUACUUAUUUAGUUACUGCUAAACUCAGAAAGAUGUGACUCUGGAUAUGAGUGACUUCAAAGCUAUUUCUCAUCAUGUUCUUGAUUUUAUACCCAUGAGACGUUGGCAGGUAGUAAGAGUAACACAUAUAAGAAAGUUGGGCCUCUGGCAGGUGGGCAAAAUUAGUAGGAAACCUUCUUAGAACUUACUGGGUGCACAUAGUCUUCCACAAGUCUGAAAGUCUUCUGUACCUGGGGCAGGAGCAUUGUGUGCUGCAGGAACCUCUGUUCCCCUAGUGAGAAUUAGUCCAUCAGAUAGCCUCAACAGAAACAGUCUGUGCCCAUUGGCUCUCCAUUAUACCAGCUUAUCCAUAUUUUAAUUCAUAGACUUAUUGUGAAAUGCAGUCAGAUACUCCUGGUAUUUGGAAGAAACAUUAUAGGCCAUGAAAACGCCCCUCAUUUUCUUCAUUGACAAAUGUCACUGUGGUCUCUUGAAGAAACUUUACAAAGCUGUGGCACAUGUUACUUUGUAAACACUGAAGAAAAUGUAAAGCAUUUUGUGAAUGUUUCAGAUAUGCCUACAUCCCCAAGCAAGGCAUGACAUAACUACUUGAGACCUGACUUUGAGACUUGCAUCAGACCACUCAUCCGACCUUGCACUUGCACUCCAGAGAUGCCAAGAAUGAGGGUGGAAUGGUAGAGAACAUUUCUUUGGGCAACAUUGGAAUGGAUAGGCUCUGAGUCUCAUCUAACCCUGUAAAAUGCACUGUAAUAUAGACUAUUAGCAUCUUUAUAAGCAGGGGCUCUUUAACGAGUAAAUGAGAUCAUCUAUCUAGCCCAGGGUUUUAACACAUUGGCACUAACACCAUUUUAGAGUGAAUAAUUCUUUAUUGUGUGAACCUAUUUGUGCACUGAAGGACAGUUAGCCAUAAUGCUUAAUGAACUCAAAAGAAACUAAUCAUUGGGAUAGACUGUCAAAGAUCACUUGAAUUUGUCUCAAGCUUCCCCAUUUGUUAUUCCAGACUUAUCUCAGAUAUUCAGAACUGCACUGUGAUCAGGGAGUUUUAACAACAAAAAUUAGACUGGCAGGAAUGCUGAGACAAAGAAACAGACCUUGGGACCAGGUUCUUUCCAGUGGCCGGAAGUGAUCUUCCCUAAAUCUACAUAAAGGAACUUGGACCCCAGAGAUGAAUUUAACAUUUCUUGGCGAAUUAUUUCUCCAUGAAUUCUAGAAACUGUCAAAUUCAAGGACCCUGGCAGGAAUAAGGGAGGCAAAGUUUGUGUGCCGCACUUUUCUGAUGGGACCAGUACAGUGGCAUCAAUUCAGCCUCCAGGCACUCAGCGACCCUGAGGAUGUCCUUCAUGAGAGUGUGCAGUCAGCAGAAAACUUCAGAGAACGAAGUCGUGAUGUCAAGAAACAACAACCAAAUGAACAAAAUAGAAGCACCGUUGCUUUUCAAAGGUCAUCAUUCUUGAACGUAGUAGCACUCCACUGAGAGAGAAGAUAUGAAAUUCAUGAUCUUUAGUAGAGCACACGACAAGUUCACGUCACUUGCAGGUCAAAAUGCAGAUUUGCGUUUAGUAAGUCUGGAGUGAGGGUUGAGAUGCUGCCUUUAUCAACAAGCCUCCAUAUACUGCUGCUGCUGUUAUUGCUGGUGCUUCUGGUGCUGCAUUGCCCCUAGUUUGAGGAAGGAUCUAGCAGCUUUGCCUAUAAAAAUAAGUAAUGGAAAAAAUUAUUGAUCCUAUAAGCAGGGGAUUAGGGCAUAUCAAGCUGGCUGGACAACAGGAUGUAACAUAUCAAGCAUGGAGCAGUGAAAAGGAGGCUGAGCAAAUAAUGUAACUGUCAGUCGUGGAAAACUGUCAAGUCUUCCGUGAGCAGAAUAAUUUCCAAAAGACUGGAUCUGAAAAGUUGUAGUAAAAGAUGCUAAUCAUUGACUUCAGAGCCAUGGCUGUCUUUGUUCUCACAGUGGCCUGUAACUACAUGUGUAAUGUAUUUUCGAUUUUCUUCUCUUUUUACAUGUCCCCUCUUCACUUUUUAGUUUUUAUUCUUUUAUUUUAAAUAAAUGCUUCCUUAUCACACACAUCAAUUGUUCUGGCCAGUUCUUUGGAUGAGACUGCAAGAUGCUAGAACCACUGGACACCUUGCUGCCUGGCAACAUCUUGGAGGUGGAAGCACUGGUAUGUCGGCCUUGUUUCAGUGAACUCGAUCAGCAGUGGUGAGCCUGCGGCACGUGUGCCACAGCUGGCUAUUGCUUGUGAUUGGAAGUUCUAAAAGGUUCACUAUCACUGCCCUCGAUGAAUGAUUUACAGGAAAAUCCCUGAAGCUUUUGAAGCAGUAUCUUUCUCAUGGAAAAAAAUAAGUAAUGAUAAUGAUACCUAGUUCAAGGAAAUGAAAAAAUACAUACUCAUAUGGUUGUGAAAAACCAGACCAUAUAAAUAAUUG